rnacentral:rRNA from 1 species
AUUGAACGCUGGCGGCAUGCCUUACACAUGCAAGUCGAACGGUAACGCGGGGCAACCUGGCGACGAGUGGCGAACGGGUGAGUAAUACAUCGGAACGUGCCCAGUAGUGGGGGAUAGCCCGGCGAAAGCCGGAUUAAUACCGCAUACGCCCCAAGGGGAAAGCGGGGAGUCUUCGGACCUCGUGCUAUAGGAGGAGCCUGCGUCGGAUUAGCUAGUUGGUGAGGUAAAGGCUCACCAAGGCGACGAUCCGUAGCUGGUCUGAGAGGAUGGCCAGCCACACUGGAACUGAGACACGGUCCAGACUCCUACGGGAGGCAGCAGUGGGGAAUAUUGGACAAUGGGCGCAAGCCUGAUCCAGCCAUGCCGCGUGUGUGAAGAAGGCCCUCGGGUUGUAAAGCACUUUAAGCGAGGAGGAAGGUCAUCAUACUAAUAUUAUGAUGAAUUGACGUUACUCGCAGAAUAAGCACCGGCUAACUCUGUGCC